rnacentral:rRNA from 1 species
GAUGAACGCUGGCGGCGUGCCUAAUACAUGCAAGUCGAACGCAUAGCGAAAGGUGCUUGCACCUUUCAAGUGAGUGGCGAACGGGUGAGUAACACGUGGACAACCUGCCUCAAGGCUGGGGAUAACAUUUGGAAACAGAUGCUAAUACCGAAUAAAACUUAGUGUCGCAUGACACAAAGUUAAAAGGCGCUUCGGCGUCACCUAGAGAUGGAUCCGCGGUGCAUUAGUUAGUUGGUGGGGUAAAGGCCUACCAAGACAAUGAUGCAUAGCCGAGUUGAGAGACUGAUCGGCCACAUUGGGACUGAGACACGGCCCAAACUCCUACGGGAGGCUGCAGUAGGGAAUCUUCCACAAUGGGCGGAAGCCUGAUGGAGCAACGCCGCGUGUGUGAUGAAGGCUUUCGGGUCGUAAAGCACUGUUAUAUGGGAAGAACAGCUAGAAUAGGAAAUGAUUUUAGUUUGACGGUACCAUACCAGAAAGGGACGGCUAAAUACGUG